rnacentral:rRNA from 1 species
AUUGAACGCUGGCGGCAGGCCUAACACAUGCAAGUCGAACGAGUGGCGGACGGGUGAGUAAUGUCUGGGAAACUGCCUGAUGGAGAGGGAUAACUCCUGGAAACGGUAGCUAAUACCGCAUAACAUCAGAUGUGCCCAGAUGGGAUUAGCUUGUUGGUGGGGUAGAGGCUCACCAAGGCGACGAUCCCUAGCGGGUUUUAGAGGAUGACCAGCCACAUUGGAACUUAGACCCGGUCCAGACUCCUACGGGAGGCAGCAGUGGGGAAUAUGGCACAAUGGGCGCAAGCCGGAUGCAGACAUGCCGCGUGUAUGAAGAAGGCCUUCGGGUUGUAAAGUACUUUCAGCGGGGAGGCGUUACCCGCAGAAGAAGCACCGGCUAACUCCGUGCCAGCAGCCGCGGUAAUUC